rfam:Enterococcus sp. 7F3_DIV0205 scaffold00001, whole genome shotgun sequence.
AAGAGAAUUACGGGAGAGACUAGUCAUAGCACCGAAGGAAUAAAUAAUCAAUGGCGCAAACCAUUGAUCAUGAAGAUCUCAGGUAAAAGGACCGUAAUUGGACA